UACGUAGGGGGCAAGCGUUGUCCGGAAUCAUUGGGCGUAAAGAGCGUGUAGGCGGCCAGAAAAGUCCGCUGUGAAAACUCGAGGCUCAACUUCGAGCUGUCGGUGGAAACUUUCUGGCUAGAGUCCGGAAGAGGAGAAUGGAAUUCCUGGUGUAGCGGUGAAAUGCGCAGAUAUCAGGAAGAACACCCGUGGCGAAGGCGGUUCUCUGGGACGGUACUGACGCUGAGACGCGAAAGCCAGGGGAGCGAACGGG
rnacentral:rRNA from 1 species